rnacentral:rRNA from 1 species
AGAGUUUGAUCCUGGCUCAGGACGAACGCUGACGGUGUGCUUUAGGCAUGCAAGUCGAACGAGAAAGCCCUUCGGGGUGAGUAAAGUGGCGAACGGGUGAGUAACACGUGGGCAACCUGCCCCUCGCAGGGGGACAACCGGAGGAAACUCCGGCUAAUACCCCGUACGCUUGUUGGAUCGCAUGGUCCGGCAAGGAAAGGUAGCUUCGGCCAUCCGGCGAGGGAUGGGCCCGCGUUGCAUUAGCUAGUUGGUGGGGUAACGGCCUACCAAGGCGACGAUGCGUAGCUGGUCUGAGAGGAUGAUCAGCCACACUGGGACUGAGACACGGCCCAGACUCCUACGGGAGGCAGCAGCCAGGAAUCUUGGGCAAUGGGCGAAAGCCUGACCCAGCAACACCGUGUGGGCGAUGAAGGCCUUAGGGUCGUAAAGCCCUGUUGAUAGGGACGAAGGGCGAAGGGUUAAUAGCCCCUAGCUUGACGGUACCUUUCGAGGAAGCCCCGGCUAACUACGUGCCAGCAGCCGCGGUAAUACGUAGGGGGCGAGCGUUGUCCGGAAUUAUUGGGCGUAAAGAGCGUGUAGGCGGUUCGGUAAGUCUGCUGUGAAAUCCUGGGGCUCAACCCUGGGCGUGCAGCGGAUACUGCCGGGCUAGAGGGUGGUAGAGGCGAGUGGAAUUCCGAGUGUAGCGGUGAAAUGCGCAGAUAUUCGGAGGAACACCAGUAGCGAAGGCGGCUCGCUGGCCACACCUGACGCUGAGNNGCGAAAGCGUGGGAGCGAACAGGAUUAGAUACCCUAGUAGUCC